UGCUUUCACUGUAUCGCUCACAAUGCU
rnacentral:sRNA from 1 species